rnacentral:rRNA from 1 species
GACGAACGCUGGCGGCGUGCUUAACACAUGCAAGUCGAACGGAAAGGCCUUUUCGGAGGUACUCGAGUGGCGAACGGGUGAGUAACACGUGGGUGAUCUGCCCUGCACUCUGGGAUAAGCCUGGGAAACUGGGUCUAAUACCGGAUAGGACCGCACUUUAGUGUGUGUGGUGGAAAGUUUUUUCGGUGUAGGAUGAGCCCGCGGCCUAUCAGCUUGUUGGUGGGGUAAUGGCCUACCAAGGCGGCGACGGGUAGCCGGACUGAGAGGUUGGUCGGCCACAUUGGGACUGAGAUACGGCCCAGACUCCUACGGGAGGCAGCAGUGGGGAAUAUUGCACAAUGGGCGCAAGCCUGAUGCAGCGACGCCGCGUGGGGGAUGACGGCCUUCGGGUUGUAAACUCCUUCCGCCAGGGACGAAGCGUUUUGUGACGGUACCUGGAGAAGAAGCACCGGCUAACUACGUG